UACGUAGGGUGCGAGCGUUGUCCGGAAUUAUUGGGCGUAAAGAGCUCGUAGGCGGCUUGUCGCGUCGGAUGUGAAAGCCCGGGGCUUAACCCCGGGUCUGCAUUCGAUACGGGCAGGCUAGAGUUCGGUAGGGGAGAUCGGAAUUCCUGGUGUAGCGGUGAAAUGCGCAGAUAUCAGGAGGAACACCAAUGGCGAAGGCAGCUCGCUGGGACGGUACUGACGCUGAGGAGCGAAAGCGUGGGGAGCGAACAG
rnacentral:rRNA from 1 species